rnacentral:rRNA from 1 species
AACGAACGCUGGCGGCAUGCCUAACACAUGCAAGUCGAACGAACCCUUCGGGGUUAGUGGCGCACGGGUGCGUAACGCGUGGGAAUCUGCCCUUUGCUUCGGAAUAACUCAGGGAAACUUGUGCUAAUACCGGAUGAUGUCUUCGGACCAAAGAUUUAUCGGCAAGGGAUGAGCCCGCGUAGGAUUAGGUAGUUGGUGGGGUAAAGGCCUACCAAGCCGACGAUCCUUAGCUGGUCUGAGAGGAUGAUCAGCCACACUGGGACUGAGACACGGCCCAGACUCCUACGGGAGGCAGCAGUGGAGAAUAUUGGACAAUGGGCGCAAGCCUGAUCCAGCAAUGCCGCGUGAGUGAUGAAGGCACUCGGGUAGUAAAGCUCUUUUACCAGGGAUGAUAAUGACAGUACCUGGAGAAUAAGCUCCGGCUAACUACGUG